UUCCCUUUCUUUGCCUUCUGCAGAUUGCUGCUUUACACAGAGGAGGAGACAGCUUCCCACUCACCGCCGCCUCAGGCAAAGUGCUGGGAAAGGCUCUGCGGAGCUGCGAUAAAAGCUCCAAGCCGGUGUACGUUUCUGUUGGCCACAAGAUCAGCCUGGACACAGCCGUGCGCCUCACCCGGGCCUGCUGCCUCUUCCGGGUGCCCGAGCCCAUCAGACAGGCCGACUGUCUCUCCAGAGAAUACCUGCGCAAACACUUCCCAGCUGCAGAUACAUGAACCCGCAGAGUUAGGCUCAGCACCUACAUUUUGCCCAAAUGAUGUGAAACCACGGACCGGCUCAUCUGCAGCUCCUCAUCUCCAACUUCUUCAAUUAUCCCUUCAUUUUUCUCGCUGUAUGAGCUCCCCAACUCCUUUGGACACAGAGGCAGAGCUCAUGGAGUAUUUCUAAAGGUGAGAAGAAACUAAACUUUCUCAAAGUAAGAAGAAAAGGCUGGAGGGAGAAGAUGAGAGUUUCAGGCAAUGGAUGUUUAACAGUAAAAGAAAAAAACUGGAAGCUGAGAAAUAAAAAAAGUAUAAGACCCAAAAAUCUUCUAUCUUAAACUGCAUAUUUUUGUUUUCCCAGGCCAAGAAGAAUCAAUUAUGUAACUAGUUGUUAAAGUUCAGCAGCACAAUAAAGCAAAAACAAAAGUGAAGUGAGACAUAAAUGACAUAAGAACAGAUUUCCAGAUGGUCAAAGCCUCAUGUUGGAGCCUGAAAUUUGUAUUUUGAUAUUUAAUUCCAGAUGAAACUUGAUUACAUCUGUGGGAUAUAUGAAGAAAAGCCAUCAUGGUGGUGCCAUUCUUCAAAUGAGGAAGAUGAAUAGGAAGUCAUAAAGAGGUGAGAUUCGGAGCCGUGAAGCCCGCUGAGGCUUGUGUCCUGACAUUCAGGAUAAAUUCAGUGGAGGGGUUCCACUUGAACGGUUGGAAAGAGGAAGAGGCAUCCAUCCACCUUGAGCCAGCUGCCCAGGAAGCCUCAUUAUCCUCCCUGCAUCCUUCCUGAAAGCUUCUGCUGAUCAGUAAAUGCCACAAGUUUCCCUCCCCACUGCGAGAGCUCUCACCAUGAGCAGAGAGCGGAAAGGAGAAGAGGAGCGUCAGACUCUGUCUUUGUCCCUAAUGGGGGGGCUGCAGUACACGUUUGAGCAUCUCCUUUGCACUCAGAGUGUUCAUCCUGAGCAGGGCCACAUUUGUUCGUGGGUUUUUUUUCAGCUGAUGUUUCCUUCAGUGACCUUAGUUGAUCACAAACGACCAAACCUCACGUCGGUUUUAACUGCUGCAGCUCCAAACUAAAACGACAUUUGUGUCUCGGAUGCCACGAGGGGCAUCUCAUGAAUUAAUGAGACGUCAGUUGAGAUGUCACGUCUUUAUCAGCUCUCUAACAGAGGAAUAACACAGGCAGAGAAACUUAACGCGCGCCGUGAAUCUCAGGCGGUUUGACUCCAGAGACAUGAUCUUUAAAAAUACUCCCUUUCUCUGUUCGGUGGGAGCAGAUUUGCAUACCGCCUUUGUUUUCGUAUCAGCAUUUAUUCAACUGUUUAGUCCGGUGGGAGCUGUUUCAUUGUGUUUGUGCUUUUGUGUGUUGCUUUUAUUUAUUUUUUGUUUGGUUUAAAAACUUGAUUUGCAUAGUUUACUUCUAAGUUAUUGGAGGUAAACGACUCAAUGUCUGUAUUUUGUUUUUGGUUUGGCAUAAAUCUUUACAGCAAGCUGGAAAAAAAAACACUGAUGACGCUAUAUUUUUUUCACAAAAGUAGAUCGUCGUGACUUUGGGCUACAUCACAUUUCAUGGUUCAAGGCUAAGGGUGUAUUCAGACUGGACACAUUAAAGUGUACCAAGCAUAGUUCAGUUACCCUCAUAAUUUCCAGUCUGAAGACAUCCAAGUGGACUCUGGUCUGGGUCCAGGAACCGCUCUCUGACUCAUCUUUGAAGGCGAUCUCGGUUCGUUUCUAAUCAAACCGAGAUUAGGUUCGCUCUGAGUUUCCUCAGUCUGAACAGGCUCUGUGGUCGGAGCGGAACAACUGAACAAAAAAUGGCCAACAUAGCCAGGCAUUAUGGGAUGUGAGCAGAGAAGGAAUGUUACAAACAAGAUAAUGAUACAACUCAACAGAUGAGGCUCAUCAAAACAACUUUUAAUGUGAAACACAUUGCUUCUAACAUUGUUUUCCCAACAAUCUUUGUAUCAUAAACACUUAUCAGCAUAGCCUUUUAGCCGUCGCCUCCUCAGUAACCGACUAGCAGCAUGCCUCCAAAAUUUUACCAAAAUAAUAAGUGGUGCAUCUGACGUUGAUACAGACAUUGUAA